UUCUCCCCCAUUCCCCAUUCGGCCGCGCUCUCCCUGGUCAGGCCGCCACUCCCCUUCGUCCCCACUGCCGGCGCGAGGUCCGUAGCCCUGCUCUUCCUCCUGUUCAUGUUGAAUCUGGUCGCGGAAGUGGCCAAGGAGGCCCUCGAGCUCGGCAUGCUCGCGCGAGCAAUCCAACGGUAGGCACCGUCACAGGCGGAUGCGGAUGCACGGGACUCGCACGCCCCUGCUCUACCCUGCUCCCUCUUCGAAUCUGGUCGCCGAAGUGCUCGAGGAGGCGCUAGAGCUCGGCAUGCUCGCUGGUGAAGCCGGCCCCUUCUCUCCUCCUGAUGCGAGGGAGAUCCCCCAUCGCCCCCACGGACAAGGUGCGGAUAGAGGCGUACCAGAAAGUGCAGGAGUUCGACUUGUCGAGCGGCGCUGAUUGGAAGACGACCGCCAAUGUCCUCUUCACGGUGCCCCCCAAGCACAAGGAGUUCGGAUAAAUCUGCUUGCAAGGCUCUCGAUGAUAUAUCCACUUUCAUCAAUUGCACCAGGGUAUGGUCAGUUGGAGAAGACAUUACUAUGAUUGUUUUUUCAGAGGAUGGCGAAGGAGGUGCAGGGAGCUGACUUGAUGGCUUGGUGAGUGGUGAUGGAGGAACAGCCGCACACUUGAUGGCUUGGUGCAGGGCGGUGAGGGCGCCGACCAGGAAGGCGAUGGCGUUGCCGGGCGUCGAGGUCGUUCCCGGAAGCCGACGAUGCCGUCGCCGUGCAGCGAGGGGAUAAGCCUGGGUCUGUUCCUUAUUUUAUGGGAUAUAUGUUACGUUUUUUUUUUGCAUGGCCUGCGUGGUGCGUGAUUGUAGGGGUUUUGGUCGAGCGCGCGUGGAGUCUGUAUGAUGCGGUGGAGCAUGGUCAGUCAACCUUAAUUGUUAGGUGCACACCAUAGACAUAUGAAAUAAAGGCUAUCCGUUGGAUUGAGAUUU